rnacentral:tRNA from 1 species
GCCCUUGUAGCUCAGUGGUAGAGCGCAUCCUUGGUAAGGAUGAGGUCGGCGGUUCGAUUCCGCUCGAGGGCU